rnacentral:rRNA from 1 species
CCCUAGUAACGGCGAGUGAAGCGGCAACAGCUCAAAUUUGAAAUCUGGCUCUUUUAGGGUCCGAGUUGUAAUUUGCAGAGGGCGCUUUGGCUUUGGCAGCGGUCCAAGUUCCUUGGAACAGGACGUCACAGAGGGUGAGAAUCCCGUACGUGGUCGCUAGCUAUCGCCGUGUAAAGCCCCUUCGACGAGUCGAGUUGUUUGGGAAUGCAGCUCUAAAUGGGAGGUAAAUUUCUUCUAAAGCUAAAUAUUGGCCAGAGACCGAUAGCGCACAAGUAGAGUGAUCGAAAGAUGAAAAGCACUUUGGAAAGAGAGUCAAACAGCACGUGAAAUUGUUGAAAGGGAAGCGCUUGCAGCCAGACUUGCUUGCAGUUGCUCAUCCGGGCUUUUGCCCGGUGCACUCUUCUGUAGGCAGGCCAGCAUCAGUUUGGGCGGUGGGAUAAAGGUCUCUGUCACGUACCUCUCUUCGGGGAGGCCUUAUAGGGGAGACGACAUACCACCAGCCUAGACUGAGGUCCGCGCAUCUGCUAGGAUGCUGGCGUAAUGGCUGUAAGCGGCCCGUCUUGAAACACGGACCAAGGAGUCUAACAUCUAUGCGAGUGUUUGGGUGUCAAGCCCGAGCGCGUAAUGAAAGUGAACGGAGGUGGGAACCCGCAAGGGUGCACCAUCGACCGAUCCUGAAGUUUUCGGAAGGAUUUGAGUAAGAGCAUGGCUGUUGGGACCCGAAAGAUGGUGAACUAUGCUUGAAUAGGGUGAAGCCAGAGGAAACUCUGGUGGAGGCUCGCAGCGGUUCUGACGUGCAAAUCGAUCGUCAAAUUUGGGCAUAGGGGCGAAAGACUAAUCG